rnacentral:rRNA from 1 species
CGUGUAGGCGGUUCGGUAAGUCAGAUGUGAAAGCCCUGGGCUCAACCCAGGAAGUGCAUUUGAAACUACCAGACUUGAGUACGGGAGAGGAGGGGGGAAUUCCCGGUGUAGAGGUGAAAUUCGUAGACAUCGGGAGGAAUACCAGUGGCGAAGGCGCCCCUCUGGACCGAUACUGACGCUGAGACGCGAAAGCGUGGGGAGCAAACA